rnacentral:tRNA from 1 species
ACCCUUGUGCGUCACACUGGUUAGUAUUCCUGCCUGUCACGCGGGUGACCCGGGUUCGAUCCCCGGCAACGGAG